rnacentral:lncRNA from 1 species
GCUUUGGAUUUCACAUAUUUUUGCCACGAGCAUCACUGAAGAGACAUGUAUUGUCGAAAUGCGCAUCUGGUGCAGAAAAAAAUGGUACCGUUAUUGUUAUUGUGACAGUUGAUGAAAAUGAACAUGAUGGAGAUAAGGGUUGAUUUGGUAUAAAGCUUGUUGCACUGGUACACACGAAUCCAGUCCCGAGGUUAGGGGAUUGUUGGCGUGCCCUUAAAAAAGUUAAACCCCGCCACUAUCUGUAUAUAUGUGUCAGUUUUAAGUUACGAGACGGUAAUGCAGUGUUUGUCGUUUGUUUCUAUAUACUAUAUUAGUUUCUUUAUUAUUUAUUUUGUACAUUAAUCAGGCCG